rfam:Gossypium arboreum cultivar AKA8401 contig_108309_1, whole genome shotgun sequence.
AACCUAUGGUGAUGACACCUUCUCAAUAGAUCUUUGUAUCUCUUCCAUGCAUCAUAAAGUGUUUCUAAAUCGAUCUACACAAAAAAAGAUAUACCAUUCCUUAAUUU